GGGGACGACUGGUUUUGACAGCGAGACCAAUCAAAAUGUAAGCAUGCCGAGCAAGGAAACAGACCUCGUAAAACUUUGUUUCACUUUUUUACACGGCGAAGAUAACUACGCUUUAGCUGCUUAAUCCGAAUCACAGUAGGAUGGGCCUAGUCUCACAAGGUGAGAAAGCUUUACAUCUCCGGAAAGCCUUGAAUUUCGGCGUUCCACUCAGAGGUGUCGUAAAUGGAAUUCUAGGAACGGCAAGCUUCGGUGCCCUUCCGAAACAAAGAAGCUAAGUCUUGCGUAGCUUGUUUUUAGGCGGCUCAAGAUCGAAAAUCAAUUAAAAACUAUGCAUGUAGAAAGCCUUGCGAUUGCUUGUUUGGACCCGGGUUCGAUUCCCGGCGUCUCCACCA
rnacentral:tmRNA from 1 species